GACGAAGGGGGCUAGCGUUGUUCGGAAUUACUGGGCGUAAAGCGCGUGUAGGCGGUUUCCCAAGUCUGGUGUGAAAGCCUUGAGCUCAACUCAAGAAAUGCACUCGGUACUGGGUGACUAGAGGACCGGAGAGGAUAGUGGAAUUCCCAGUGUAGUGGUGAAAUACGUAGAGAUUGGGAAGAACACCAGUGGCGAAGGCGGCUAUCUGGACGGUUUCUGACGCUAAGACGCGAAAGCGUGGGGAGCAAACAGG
rnacentral:rRNA from 1 species